UACGGAGGGUGCAAGCGUUAAUCGGAAUUACUGGGCGUAAAGCGUGCGUAGGCGGUUUUUUAAGUCAGAUGUGAAAGCCCUGGGCUUAACCUGGGAACUGCAUUUGAUACUGGGAAACUAGGGUUGAGUAGAGGAGAGUGGAAUUUCAGGUGUAGCGGUGAAAUGCGUAGAUAUCUGAAGGAACACCAGUGGCGAAGGCGACUCCCUGGACUAGAACUGACGCUGAGGUACGAAAGCCAGGGGAGCAAACGGG
rnacentral:rRNA from 1 species